rnacentral:rRNA from 1 species
UAAGACGAACCGUGCAAACGUUGUUCGGAAUCACUGGGCUUAAAGGGCGCGUAGGCGGUUUGCCAAGUCAGGGGUGAAAUCCUGCAGCUCAACUGUAGAAGUGCCUUUGAUACUGGUGAACUCGAGGGAGGUAGGGGUCGCUGGAACUUCUGGUGGAGCGGUGAAAUGCGUUGAUAUCAGAAGGAACGCCGGUGGCGAAAGCGAGCGACUGGAUCUCUACUGACGCUGAGGCGCGAAAGCCAGGGGAGCAAACGGGAUUAGAUACCCCGGUAGUCCUGGCCCUAAACGAUGGGUACUAGAUUGCAGACUGAUCAUGGGUUUGCAGUCGAAGCAAAAGUGAUAAGUACCCCGCCUGGGGAGUAUGGUCGCAAGGCUG